CCUUUGAGUCAGUUAGGAUAUGAGGAAUGUGGUACGGUGAGUUAGGUAACAAAAGAGAAAGAAAGACUGAUUUAUAUAAAGCCUUUGAGUCAGUUAGGAUAUGAGGAAUGUGGUACGGUGAGUUAGACAGGUAACAAAAGAGAAAGAAAGACUGAUUUAUAUAAAGCCUUUGAGUCAGUUAGGAUAUGAGGAAUGUGGUACGGUGAAUUAGACAGGUAACAAAAGAGAAAGAAAGACUGAUUUAUAUAAAGCCUUUGAGUCAGUUAGGAUAUGAGGAAUGUGGUACGGUGAAUUAGACAGGUAACAAAAGAGAAAGAAAGACUGAUUUAUAUAAAGCCUUUGAGUCAGUUAGGAUAUGAGGAAUGUGGUACGGUGAGUUAGACAGGUAACAAAAGAGAAAGAAAGACUGAUUUAUAUAAAGCCUUUGAGUCAGUUAGGAUAUGAGGAAUGUGGUACGGUGAGUUUGGUAACAAAAGAGAAAGAAAGACUGAUUUAUAUAAAGCCUUUGAGUCAGUUAGGAUAUGAGGAAUGUGGUACGGUGAAUUAGACAGGUAACAAAAGAGAAAGAAAGACUGAUUUAUAUAAAGCCUUUGAGUCAGUUAGGAUAUGAGGAAUGUGGUACGGUGAAUUAGACAGGUAACAAAAGAGAAAGAAAGACUGAUUUAUAUAAAGCCUUUGAGUCAGUUAGGAUAUGAGGAAUGUGGUACGGUGAGUUAGACAGGUAACAAAAGAGAAGGAAAGACUGAUUUAUAUACAGCCUUUGAGUCAGUUAGGAUAUGAGGAAUGUGGUACGGUGAAUUAGACAGGUAACAAAAGAGAAAGAAAGACUGAUUUAUAUAAAGCCUUUGAGUCAGUUAGGAUAUGAGCAAUGUGGUACGGUGAAAUAGACAGGUAACAAAAGAGAAAGAAAGACUGAUUCAUAUAAAGCCUUUGAGUCAGGUAGGAUAUGAGGAAUGUGGUACGGUGAGUUAGACAGGUAACAAAAGAGAAAGAAAGACUGAUUUAUAUAAAGCCUUUGAGUCAGUUAGGAUAUGAGGAAUGUGGUACGGUGAGUUAGACAGGUAACAAAAGAGAAAGAAAGACUGAUUUAUAUAAAGCCUUUGAGUCAGUUAGGAUAUGAGGAAUGUGGUACGGUGAAUUAGACAGUUAACAAAAGAGAAAAAAAGACUGAUUUAUAUAAAGCCUUUGAGUCAGUUAGGAUAUGAGGAAUGUGGUACGGUGAAUUAGACAGGUAACAAAAGAGAAAGAAAGACUGAUUUAUAUAAAGCCUUUGAGUCAGUUAGGAUAUGAGGAAUGUGGUACGGUGAGUUAGGUAACAAAAGAGAAAGAAAGACUGAUUUAUAUAAAGCCUUUGAGUCAGUUAGGAUAUGAGGAAUGUGGUACGGUGAGUUAGACAGGUAACAAAAGAGAAAGAAAGACUGAUUUAUAUACAGCCUUUGAGUCAGUUAGGAUAUGAGGAAUGUGGUACGGUGAGUUAGACAGGUAACAAAAGAGAAAGAAAGACUGAUUUAUAAAAAGCCUUUGAGUCAGUUAGGAUAUGAGGAAUGUGGUACGGUGAAUUAGACAGGUAACAAAAGAGAAAGAAAGACUGAUUUAUAUAAAGCCUUUGAGUCAGUUAGGAUAUGAGGAAUGUGGUACGGUGAAUUAGACAGGUAACAAAAGAGAAAGAAAGACUGAUUUAUAUAAAGCCUUUGAGUCAGUUAGGAUAUGAGGAAUGUGGUACGGUGACUUAGGUAACAAAAGAGAAAGAAAGACUGAUUUAUAUAAAGCCUUUGAGUCAGUUAGGAUAUGAGGAAUGUGGUACGGUGAAUUAGACAGGUAACAAAAGAGAAAGAAAGACUGAUUUAUAUAAAGCCUUUGAGUCAGUUAGGAUAUGAGGAAUGUGGUACGGUGAAUUAGACAGGUAACAAAAGAGAAAGAAAGACUGAUUUAUAUAAAGCCUUUGAGUCAGUUAGGAUAUGAGGAAUGUGGUACGGUGAAUUAGACAGGUAACAAAAGAGAAAGAAAGACUGAUUUAUAUAAAGCCUUUGAGUCAGUUAGGAUAUGAGGAAUGUGGUACGGUGAAUUAGACAGGUAACAAAAGAGAAAGAAAGACUGAUUUAUAUAAAGCCUUUGAGUCAGUUAGGAUAUGAGGAAUGUGGUACGGUGAGUUAGGUAAAAAAAGAGAAAGAAAGACUGAUUUAUAUAAAGCCUUUGAGUCAGUUAGGAUAUGAGGAAUGUGGUACGGUGAGUUAGACAGGUAACAAAAGAGAAAGAAAGACUGAUUUAUAUAAAGCCUUUGAGUCAGUUAGGAUAUGAGGAAUGUGGUACGGUGAGUUAGACAGGUAACAAAAGAGAAAGAAAGACUGAUUUAUAUAAAGCCUUUGAGUCAGUUAGGAUAUGAGGAAUGUGGUACGGUGAGUUAGACAGGUAACAAAAGAGAAAGAAAGACUGAUUUAUAUAAAGCCUUUGAGUCAGUUAGGAUAUGAGGAAUGUGGUACGGUG